CCAUAUGGAGGUUCCCAGGCUAGGGGUCAAAUCAGAGCUACAGCUGUCAGCCUACGCCACAGCCACAGCAACACCAGAUCUGAGCCAUACCUGCGACCUACAGCACAGCUCAUGGCAACGCCAGAUCCUUAUCCCACAGAGCAAGGCCAGGGAUUGAGCCUGCAACCUCAUGGUUCCUAGUCAGAACCAUAACAGGAACUCCAGAAAUUUCUUAAAAAACUAAAAAUAGAACUACUAUAUGAUUCAGUAAUCCCACUCCUGGGCAUCUAUCCAGAGAAAACUCUAAUUUGAAAAGAUACAUGCACCCUAGUGUUCAUAGCAGCACUCUUUACAGUAACCAAGACAUAGAAGCAACCUAAGUGUGCACUGACAGAUGAAUAGAUAAACAAGAUGUGGUACACACACACACACACACACAGGAAUAUUACUCAGCCGUAAAAAAGAAUGAAAUAAUGCCAUUUGCAGCAACAUGAAUGGAUCUAGGGAUUAUCAUACUAAGUGAAGUAAGUCAGAAAAAGACAAAUUUUAUAUCACUUAUAUGUGAAAUCUAAAAAAAUGAUACAAAUGAACUUAUAUGCAAAACAGAAAUAGACCUACAGACAUAGAUAACAAACAUAUGGUUACCAAAGAGGAAAAGGGAAGAGGGAUAAGUUGGAAGUUUGGGACUUGAUUAACACACGCUACUGCAAAUAAACAACACGGACUCACUGUAUAACACAGGGAACUGUAUUUAAUAUCUUGUAAUAACUAUAAUGGAAAAGAAUCUGGAAAAGAAUAUAUGUAUGUAGCUGAAUCACUCUGCUGUUCAUAUGAAACUCACACAACUUUGUAAAUCAACUGUAGUUGAAUAAAAAUAAUUUUUUUUUUUUUUUUUUUUGCUAUUUCUUGGGCCGCUCCCGCGGCAUAUGGAGGUUCCCAGGCUAGGGGUCCAAUCGGAGCUGUAGCCACUGGCCUACGCCAGAGCCACAGCAACGCGGGAUCCGAGCCGCGUCUGCAACCUACACCACAGCUCACGGCAAUGCCGGAUCGUUAACCCACUGAGCAAGGGCAGGGACCGAACCCGCAACCUCAUGGUUCCUAGUCGGAUUCGUUAACCACUGCGCCAUGACGGGAACUCCGAAUAAAAAUAAAUUUAAAAAUUGUUCGCAUAAUUUUUAUUGCAACUCUUUACCAGAAAGGAUACUCUGUGGGUUAGGUGGGCAAGUGAAUACAUUUAAUCCAUGUAUGCAAUUCAGAGGUUCCCUGUGGGCACCCCAGAGGAUACUAGGUUUUCAGCGGCUAAGAGGCAUAAUAAUUAUUUUUUAAAAGGUUUCACAGUCAAGCAUUUUGGGGUUAAAUUUAAAUAGGAUCUUUGCUGUUGGAGUGCUCAGUUUCAAUACGCUGACAUGCACUGUGAAUCUCCAAGAGGGGAAUACGAGCAUGCGUGGUUUACCAGACUGGUUUAAUCUUGAAACCUUUCAUCGCAGAGCAUCGUGCCGAAUCAGUCUUCCAUGACUUUAUGCUGGUAAAGGCUGGUCUAAGUCUGUAAUCUCAACAGGAAACCCUGGAAACGAGCGUAGCAAUGUAAAAUUAAUACAGGCCUUCACCCAGUUGAAAUAUUUUCAAUUACUCACCUGCAUCCAUUUUUUAAAAGUUCAGUCGCAAAGUUCUUGCUUUCUAAAUUCUUUUCAUUCUGUGGUUGCUACCUAUAAACAUGGCGAGCUUGGCUUAGAGUAAAAAUUCCCUCCUUUACUAAAUACGUAAUUCUCCGGUAUAACGCCACUCGCCCCUGAGAAAUGGAAUUUGUAUUAUUUUCCUCCUGAAAUAGAAAGGCACUCUAAGAACAAAUAAAACUCCUCAGUAAUCCUUCUGUCCCCGACCCAUAGAUGAAGUCAUUCUCUCAGAAUUCCACUGAUGGCACUUCUCAGCCUAGAGGUACUGGCAGGCUAAAUGGGAGCCGUUCCAAAAUUAUUCGGGCUUUAUUAAUGUGACAGAAUAGGCUUUGAAGUACUAAAAUAAUAAUUAAAAGUGAGUGGCACAUUUGAAAUUACUUUUUUUUUUUUUCUUUUUACAGCCACACCUGCGGCAUAUGGAAGUUCCUGGGCUAGGGGUCAAAUCAGAGUCGCAGCUGCCGGUCUACACCACAGCCACAACGACACCAGAUCUAAGCUGCGUCUGCAACCUACACCACAGCUCAUGGCAAGGCCAGAUCCUUAACCCACUGAGUGAGGCCAGAGAUUGAACCCACAUCCCCAUGGAUGCUAGUCGGGUUCAUAACCCGCUGAGCCACAAUCGGAACUCCCCUGUGUCGGGGUCUUAACUCACUGAGCCACAACUGGAAUUCCAGCGAUAAUAAUUUAAGAGGAAAGGGAUGGAGACUCACAGUUACUGAGCAUAAUAACUGGAUGGACAGAAAUAUGAAGAAAGAAUACUCUAUGCUGAGGAAGGCACCGAGUCGAGAAACUUUUGUUGAGGGUGGCCUCUCUCAGCAGCUCGUUGGCAAGUAACAACAGGCGACAUUAAUAGGCUUUCCAGUGAAUGUCUUAACCCUCAGAUCUACCCUGAGGGGUGGGUCCUCUCUCCCCAUUUUACAGAUAGGGAAUCCGGAGUCCAGAGGAAUUAAGAAACCAGCUCAGGAUCCUCAGACAGUAUAUCAUGGUACAGCGAUUUGGCUCCAACGU
rnacentral:lncRNA from 1 species